rnacentral:rRNA from 1 species
UGGCGAACGGGUGAGUAACGCGUGAGGAACCUGCCUCAAAGAGGGGGACAACAGUUGGAAACGACUGCUAAUACCGCAUAAGCCCACGGGUCGGCAUCGACCAGAGGGAAAAGGAGCAAUCCGCUUUGAGAUGGCCUCGCGUCCGAUUAGCUAGUUGGUGAGGUAACGGCCCACCAAGACAACGAUCGGUAGCCGGACUGAGAGGUUGAACGGCCACAUUGGGACUGAGACACGGCCCAG